rnacentral:rRNA from 1 species
CCUACGGGAGGCAGCAGUGAGGAAUAUUGGUCAAUGGACGAGAGUCUGAACCAGCCAAGUAGCGUGAAGGAUGACUGCCCUAUGGGUUGUAAACUUCUUUUAUAUGGGAAUAAAAUGUUCCACGUGUGGGAUUUUGUAUGUACCAUAUGAAUAAGGAUCGGCUAACUCCGUGCCAGCAGCCGCGGUAAUACGGAGGAUCCGAGCGUUAUCCGGAUUUAUUGGGUUUAAAGGGAGCGUAGGUGGAUUGUUAAGUCAGUUGUGAAAGUUUGCGGCUCAACCGUAAAAUUGCAGUUGAAACUGGCAGUCUUGAGUACAGUAGAGGUGGGCGGAAUUCGUGGUGUAGCGGUGAAAUGCUUAGAUAUCACGAAGAACUCCGAUUGCGAAGGCAGUUCACUGGACUGCAACUGACACUGAGGCUCGAAAGUGUGGGUAUCAAACGGGAUUAGAUACCCGAGUAGUC